rnacentral:rRNA from 1 species
UACGGAGGGUGCAAGCGUUAAUCGGAAUUACUGGGCGUAAAGCGUGCGCAGGCGGUUUGUUAAGUCCGUUGUGAAAGCCCCGAGCUCAACUUGGGAAUUGCAGUGGAUACUGGCAGGCUGGAGUACGGUAGAGGAAGGUGGAAUUCCCGGUGUAGCGGUGAAAUGCGUAGAGAUCGGGAGGAACACCAGUGGCGAAGGCGGCCUUCUGGACCAGCACUGACACUCAAGCACGAAAGCGUGGGGAGCAAACAGG